CAAAGUAUAGCUAAAUUAGGAAAGCAUCUCGUUUACACUGAGAAGUCUGUCUGUGCAAAUCGGACUACUUUGA
rnacentral:tRNA from 1 species